rnacentral:rRNA from 1 species
AACGAACGCUGGCGGCAGUCCUAACACAUGCAAGGCGAGCGAAGUCUUCGGACUUAGCGGCGGACGGGUGAGUAACGCGUGGGAAUAUGCCCUUCUCUACGGAAUAGCCUCGGGAAACUGGGAGUAAUACCGUAUACGCCCUUUGGGGGAAAGAUUUAUCGGAGAGGGAUUAGCCCGCGUUGGAUUAGGUAGUUGGUAAGGUAAUGGCCUACCAAGCCGACGAUCACUAGCUGGUUUGAUAGGAUGAUCAGCCACACUGGGACUGAGACACGGCCCAGACUCCUACGGGAGGCAGCAGUGGGGAAUCUUAGACAAUGGGCGCAAGCCUAAUCUAGCCAUGCCGCGUGAUUGAUGAAGGCCUUAGGGUUGUAAAGAUCUUUCAGCUGGGAAGAUAAUGACGGUACCAGCAGAAGAAGCCCCGGCUAACUCCGUGCCAGCAGCCGCCGUAA